GGGAUCCGGGUUCUCCUGUUGCUUCCUCCUCCAACCUUUUCCAGGUGGAACACUGCCUUCCAAGCCCCUUGGCCCGACCCUGCCAGGCCCCUACCGGGGAAGGCUCCGGAAUCUAACUCGAUCUCCAGACCUGAGGGGGUGGGGGUGGGGGUGCUUUUGUUUAUCUUUUUUUCGUUGACCGUGAAUGGGGCUAUUUCCUCACCCCACCGGGAAGUCUGGACAAUAGGUGUUGGCUGGGGGUGGGGAGAGACGGUGGCCGCCGAAGUGGAAGACUGCCCGUGUCGGAUUUCACCCAAACCUCCCAUUUCCCCCCUACCCUCCGGCCUCGGCCAAGGCCGUUGGUCGCUUAGUUCUCCGGGCUUCUCUGGGGCUCCGCAGCCCUGGGCCUACAUAGGCUCCCCGGGAACCCCCGCUGCCCUUGGAGCGCCCACAAGUUCCGGGUCCCCGAAGCGCGGCGGGCUGGCUGCCGGUAGCUCGGCUUCUGUUCUCCCCUGCGGCUUUCAGAACCGAAACCCUAGGCACACCGCCCCCGGCAACCCUGCAGGCAGGCAUCCUCUGGGGCCCGCGCGCUGUGGACAGGGGGCUCCUGAGCGUCCCGCGCAUGGCUUCUCUGCGGACGGUGCCCGGAGAGCGGUUCUGCUCGCGCUCAGCUCCGCUCCUGGGAGGACGAAGGGGCCCCCGCACGCCUGGUCCCGAACUCUGGGCCGACUCGAAGAGUUAAACCCAGCAGUGGGGCGGAGGGCCCUUUGUCCCCCGCCAGACGUCCCGCCAGGCUUAUCAGCAGACGGCUUCAGGCCCAGCUUGCAAACCUUCCCAGUCCCAUUCUCACCCCGCCAGGGUAAAGGUCUGGCUGGGAGAGUCAUUUUGCUAACUGCACCGCACGGAAAUGCAGCUGCUAAGAGGAUUAGCUGCUGGGAGGCGAGCCAUCCGCCGGGACCUCCUCCCCUUCUGCGCCCAAUUAAGGCCGCCGGGAGCUCGUCCCUGGGCAAUCCGGGCUCCCACCCCCCGGAUCUUUCUGGGGCCCAAGUUCUUCCAGCGCUGCCGGUGACCUUGGGAGGCUGGGACGUGGGCGCCGCGUCUCCGACUGUGCGUGCUCAAAGCCGACCGCAACGCUGCCAGGGAGCCGGGAAGAGCGGUUGUGCAGAUUUGCUUGUCCACAUGUAUUUCUUGUGGCUGAUAGGUUUAGUCUCGGGCCGGGAGACUCAAAAGUCUGCCUCACCUGGUCGCCAGCGCCGACCCGCCCCCUUCCGUGCGCUUCCAGCAGGCGCGAAGUGGAAGGUGCGGUGGAAUUUCAGAACUGUGCGCUCCCCUUUCCGCCCUCUGGAAAGCCGGGAAAUGGAGCCACUCUCGGGGGAAAGCAGAGUCUGCCCUCGCCUGCUUCGAGCCCUGCAUGUUUUUGCACCGUACAGUCAAAAGAACCUAGUACUUGUGAAAAGUCCCUCACAGUGUUUAAUGGAAACGUAA
rnacentral:lncRNA from 1 species